CCCUUUGGGUGUGACUGCGUACCUUUUGUAUAAUGGGUCAGCGACUUAUAUUCUGUAGCAAGGUUAACCGAAUAGGGGAGCCGGAGGGAAACCGAGUCUUAACCGGGCGUUAAGUUGCAGGGUAUAGACCCGAAACCCGGUGAUCUAGCCAUGGGCAGGUUGAAGGUUGGGUAACACUAACUGGAGGACCGAACCGACUAAUGUUGAAAAAUUAGCGGAUGACCUGUGGCUGGGGGUGAAAGGCCAAUCAAACCGGGAGAUAGCUGGUUCUCCCCGAAAGCUAUUUAGGUAGCGCCUCGUGAAUUCAUCUCCGGGGGUAGAGCACUGUUUCGGCUAGGGGGCCAUCCCGGCUUACCAACCCGAUGCAAACUGCGAAUACCGGAGAAUGUUAUCACGGGAGACACACGGCGGGUGCUAACGUCCGUCGUGAAGAGGGAAACAACCCAGACCGCCAGCUAAGGUCCCAAAGUCAUGGUUAAGUGGGAAACGAUGUGGGAAGGCCCAGACAGCCAGGAUGUUGGCUUAGAAGCAGCCAUCAUUUAAAGAAAGCGUAAUAGCUCACUGGUCGAGUCGGCCUGCGCGGAAGAUGUAACGGGGCUAAACCAUGCACCGAAGCUGCGGCAGCGACACUGUGUGUUGUUGGGUAGGGGAGCGUUCUGUAAGCCUGUGAAGGUGUGUCGUGAGGCAUGCUGGAGGUAUCAGAAGUGCGAAUGCUGACAUAAGUAACGAUAAAGCGGGUGAAAAGCCCGCUCGCCGGAAGACCAAGGGUUCCUGUCCAACGUUAAUCGGGGCAGGGUGAGUCGACCCCUAAGGCGAGGCCGAAAGGCGUAGUCGAUGGGAAACGGGUUAAUAUUCCCGUACUUGGUGUUACUGCGAAGGGGGGACGGAGAAGGCUAUGUUGGCCGGGCGACGGUUGUCCCGGUUUAAGCGUGUAGGUGUGUGUUCCAGGUAAAUCCGGUUCACUUUAACACUGAGGCGUGA
rnacentral:rRNA from 1 species